CUUGGAGACUGGCUCUCUGCCCACCAGGACAAGCUGCGAGGUCCCCCAGACCCUCUGCCCAGACCGGGGGUCUGCAACCUUAAACACUCAAAGAGCCAUUUGGCCGCUUCCCUUUUCAAAAGAAAACACCAGGAGCCACAAAACCUGGGUGGGCAUGGCCAACUCAACGUCACUCCCACCUAGUCUCAUGACACACACACCCCAGCCACACCUACCCAGGUUUUGUGGCUCCCUGUGUUUUCUGUGGGAAAUAGGUCUCUCGCUCUCGCUCUCUCCCCCUCCAUCCCUCCCUCUCAUUUCUGUUUUUCUCUUUUUCCUCCCCCUCCCCCUCUCCUUUCUUUCUUUCUUCCUUUCUUUCUCCCUUCUCUCAUUUAUUUCCCUCUCUCCCAUUCUCUCCCUCCAGCUCUCUCAUUUCUCUCCCUCUCCCCCUUUUCUCUCUCUCUCGUUUGUUUCUUUUUCCUCUCAUUCUCUCCAUCAUUUUCCCAUUUGUCUCCCUCUUUCUCCCCUUUUCUCUCUCUCAUUUCUCUUUCCCUCAUGUUUUUUUCUUUUUCCUCUCCCUCCCUCCCUCUUUCUUUCUUUCUCUUUCUUCUCUCUCUCAUUUGUUUCUCUCUUUUCCCUCUCUCUCAUUUUCUCCCUCCAUCAUUUUCUCAUUUCCCUCUCUUGCCCUAGCACCCCUGGGGUUUUCUCCGCACUACCCACAAUUGGCUGCUUUUUGCGAUUCCUUGUCCUUUGCGGGCAUCUCAGCGCCAGCCGCAGUCCCCUUUGUGUCAGCUCAGGAAGGGAGGAGAAGCUGCCGCCGCUGCCAAAUGCAGGGAGGGAAUUGCUCUGGCUCUCCUACGCAGCGCGGCCGGCUACUCACCUGUGCAUGCAAUGGUGGCAGUGGGAGGAGGAGUUGCCAUUACCACCGCCACGAUCCUGGGCCAGUAGGGUAUCCUGCUUGUGUGUGUGUGUGUGCACGCGCAAAAGAGAGAUGAGAAAGAGAAAAGGGAAGAAAAGGCUCCAGCAACCCUCCUCCUCCCCCUCCUUCUUGCAACCCCCUGGCCAGCUAUGGCAAGGCCAGGAGAACGUGCACAAGCAGGGAGACUCUCCUCAAGCAAGUGGCCGGGCUCGGCCAAAGCGCAACAAAGGUGUGCAUGGGACAGGUGGGUACUUGCUUGAGGAGGCUCUCUACACUUGUGUGUACCCUUCCGGCCUUGCCACAGCUGCCCAGUGGGUCACCACACACACAUAAACACACACACACACGGCUUUCAUUGAAAACAUCCUCCAAGCAGCGAAAGUCCCCUGUUCAUGUUUUAAAGCUGCAGCUGGGUGCUGCGGGCCUGUCCCCUUUCUGUCAUCCCAUCCUCCCGGAUCCCAUUCCAACCCUGUCAGCCCUUGUGUUAGCAAUGCCAGUGUCUUGUGGCGGAGAGCAGAUUGCGCGUCUCCCCAAGCUACCAAGGCACACCCAGCACCAAGGGCUGGAAGAAGCUCCAGCAAGAGUGAGGCACCGGAGAAUCUGCUCCAUCCACUUCUCCAUCCCUCAGCAUCACCGUUACCUUCUCAGGCCAAGUGAGGGCGACUGGGAGGGGAGGGCGAGGGGCGCCAGCCAAUGGUGGGAUCACCUGACAGAGCCACAGCAGAGGGCCCAAAGAGCCACAUGCAGCUCCGGAGCCACAGGUUGCCGACCCCCAGCCCAGACAAAGGAAGCUCAUUCAUUCAAACCUUUAUUGUUAGAGUACAACAUGUGUACAAUGAGAUUGGCUGAGCCUCCCUUCGUGCACCCCCAACAGCCCAAUACAACUCACAGUGAAAGACAGGGGGAAAAAAUCCCUAACCCAGUGCCAAAUUGUUGUUGUUAGUUGCAAAGUCAUGUCCGACCCAUCGCGACCCCAUGGACAAUGUUGUCCAUGGGGUCACAAUGGGUUGCGAUGAAGUAACCAAAUAGUUCCUAUUAUUUGUAUUUCUACUUGGAGAAGCACCAUAUUAUAGUGGUUAAGGCACUGGACUGGUUUGAAAUUUUUUAGUUUAGUGUAUCACGUGAACCCAGAAAAACAAGCGAGCAUAGCAGCCAGAUUAGCUGUGCUACUGACUAAAAACAUGAUUUAAACUGAUGACUGGAGGGGAAUUCACCUUAAGGAGAGCAGAGACCCCCAAAUGUUUCAGUAAAGCCACAAUUUCUAUUGCUGAUUUCCCAUUUCUUGUGGGAAGGGGAUGACAGUGACAAGCAUGCCUCUCCUGUACCAUGCAUAUAGCUCAAUGUCCCUGGCAGCGGAAGGGCCCACAUUGGCUACUGCUGCCACAUCCACUGGGCUCCAUCCCGCCCUGGACAAGGAGGGAUGCCAAGCCCCCAAACCUCUCACGCCCCCAGCCACGAGAGCAGCCACAGCUGUGGCCUACCUAAGGGCUGCCCACCAGGUGGCUCUGGCAAAGGCCUGGCCUGAUUGGCUACAGGGCUGCUUGUUCCGUCAGCCAAUCGGAUGCCUGAGGUUUCCGUUGGUUCCGCCCACUCGCGGCUGGCCCUCGCAAUGGUGCUGGAGCUGUACCUGGACCUGCUUUCCCAGCCUUGCAGGGCAGUCUACAUCUUCGCCAAAAAGAAUAACAUCCCAUUCAUGAUGAAGCCUGUUGAGAUGCUGAAAGGUGGAGUGGGGUGGAGUUCCCCUGCAAGCCCCCUUUUCUCCUGCCCCUCUCCUUCCCCCCGAUCUUCCCGAGGCUCCCUACCUGGGGAUCCCCUUAAGGCUCCCCACCACCUCCAGGAAGUUUCAGAGGUGAUCAGCAGGGCAUGAGGGACGUCUGCAGGCAUCUUCCCAGUUGGUAGAAACAGGCUUUGUGCCUUGACCAUGCUGGUGGGGGGGGGCAACAUUCUGUCCUCCCCAUGGAGCAGACUCUAGCUACCCCAUCCAGAGGCCGGCCCUGUCUGAGGCACCAGAGGGGCAGACAAGCCAUCGGGGGUCUUCCCGCCCUGAUGCUUUCACGGAGUCCUCUUGAGCACAGACAUCACAGUGGAAGCCAAAGAGAAAGGGCUUCCCCUCAGCACCUCUGGAAAGCCUGGAGGCUCUGGGAAGAGAAACAGUGGGAGGCGGCCCAUCUGAGAUUUGGGCCCUCAACCCAGCCGGAGCCCCUGCUACACCCCACUCCUGGCACCCAAGCUGCAAGCUCUUAGUUUUGGGGACUGAGCCCAGCUAAGGAGCGGAGGGGAGGGUUUGGGUUAAGGUUAAGGUUAGUUAGUUAAUUUUCUUUUUGGCUGACGUGGUUUAUUAAUGUUAGGGCAACACUUCACUGAGGAAUUUAACAAGGUGAACAUCCUAAGAAAAGUGCCUGUCCUGAAGGAUGGAGAUUUCAUCUUAGAAGAGAGCCAUCCUUCUCUACCUGACCCGGAAAUACAACACUCCCAGCUACUGGUACCCGCCCGAUAU